rnacentral:rRNA from 1 species
GACGAACGCUGGCGGCGUGCUUAACACAUGCAAGUCGAACGGAAAGGCCCUGCUUUUGUGGGGUGCUCUCGUGUCGCACACGUGAGUAACACGUGUGUAACCUGCCCUUGACUUUGGGAUAACUUCUGGGAACUGGGGCUCAUACCCGAUAUGGGCUUCUGCUGCAUGUUGGGUGUUGGGAAGUUCCGGCGGUUGGGGCUGGUCGGGCGGCUUAUCAGCUUGUUUGGGGGGUAUGGGCUUGCGAAGGCUUUGACGGGUAGCCGGCCUGAGAGGGUGACCGGGGACAUUGGGACUGAGAGAGGGACCAGAAGCCAACGGGAGGCAGUAGUGGGGAAUAUUGCACAAUGGGCGGAAGCCAGAGGCAGAAACGCCGGGUGCGGGAUGACGGCCUUCGGGUUGUAAACCGCUGUCGCAUGAGACGAAGCGUGAGUGACGGUAAUGGGUAAAGAAGCACCGGCUAACUACGUG